rnacentral:rRNA from 1 species
UACGUAGGUGGCAAGCGUUAUCCGGAAUUACUGGGCGUAAAGCGCACGCAGGCGGCUCAUUAAGUUUGACGUGAAAGCUCCUGGCUUAACUGGGAGAGGUCGUUGAAGACUGAUGAGCUUGAGGCGAUGAGAGGGGUGUAGAAUUCCCGGUGUAGUGGUGGAAUGCGUAGAUAUCGGGAGGAAUACCAGUGGCGAAAGCGACACCCUGGCAUUAGCCUGACGCUCAUGUGCGAAAGCGUGGGGAGCAAACGGG